CAGAGAGUGCGAACGUUGUUCGGAAUUACUGGGCUUAAAGCGCACGUAGGCGGCGCCGCAAGUGCGGGGUGAAAUCCCACGGCUUACCCGUGGAACUGCCCCGUAGACUGUGGUGCUCGAGGAUGGUAGGGGAGAGCGGAACUCCUGGUGGAGCGGUGAAAUGCGUAGAUAUCAGGAGGAACACCGGUGGCGAAGGCGGCUCUCUGGUCCAUUACUGACGCUGAGGUGCGAAAGCUAGGGGAGCAAACGGGAUUAGAUACCCCGGUAGUCCUAGCUGUAAACGAUGGGCACUAGCUUGGGGUCUCCCUGUGUGAUCCCAGGUGAAGCAAAAGUGAUAAGUGCCCCGCCUGGGGAGUAUGGUCGCAAGGCUG
rnacentral:rRNA from 1 species